rnacentral:rRNA from 1 species
UACGUAGGCAGCGAGCGUUGUUCGGAGUUACUGGGCGUAAAGGGUGCGUAGGCGGUUUUCCAAGUUUGGGGUGAAAUCUCCCGGCUCAACUGGGAGGGUGCGUCGAAAACUGGAGGACUGGAGUAUCGGAGAGGUAAGCGGAAUUCCUGGUGUAGCGGUGAAAUGCGUAGAGAUCAGGAGGAACACCUGUGGUGUAGACAGCUUACUGGACGGUGACUGACGCUGAGGCACGAAAGCGUGGGUAGCAAACGGG